AUUGAACGCUGGCGGCAGGCCUAACACAUGCAAGUCGAGCGGAUGAAGGGAGCUUGCUCCUGGAUUCAGCGGCGGACGGGUGAGUAAUGCCUAGGAAUCUGCCUGGUAGUGGGGGAUAACGUCCGGAAACGGGCGCUAAUACCGCAUACGUCCUGAGGGAGAAAGUGGGGGAUCUUCGGACCUCACGCCAUCAGAUGAGCCUAGGUCGGAUUAGCUAGUUGGUGGGGUAAAGGCCUACCAAGGCGACGAUCCGUAACUGGUCUGAGAGGAUGAUCAGUCACACUGGAACUGAGACACGGUCCAGACUCCUACGGGAGGCAGCAGUGGGGAAUAUUGGACAAUGGGCGAAAGCCUGAUCCAGCCAUGCCGCGUGUGUGAAGAAGGUCUUCGGAUUGUAAAGCCCUUUAAGUUGGGAGGAAGAGCAGUAAGUUAAUACCUUGCUGUUUUGACGUUACCAACAGAAUAAGCACCGGCUAACUUCGUG
rnacentral:rRNA from 1 species